GGCGUUGCAUAUACGGGGUAGAGGGAACAUACUGGGCUGAAGCCAUAAGGUCGAGUUGAUCAUGAUGUAAGCGGAACGCGGCUGGAAAGCCGGACCGUAGGAGGUGAGAGUCCUGUAGAGCGUAAAGUCAUGACGGCUUGUAUGUAAUCCCGAGUAGCAUCGGACACGAGGAAUCCGGUGUGAAUCAGCGUGGACCAUAUCACGUAAGGCUAAAUACUUCCGCCGACCGAUAGAGGAGAGUACCGUGAGGGAAAGGUGAAAAGAACCCUGAGCAAGGGAGUGAAAUAGAAUUUGAAACCGUGUGCUUACAAGCGGUAGGAGCCCUUAGGGGUGACUGCGUGGAUUUUGGUUAAUCAUCCUGCGAGUUAUGAUGUGUGGCGAGGUUAAGUGUAAGCGGAGCCGAAGGGAAACCGAGUCUUAAUAGGGCGACGAGUCGCAUGUCAUAGACGCGAAACCUAGUGAUCUAGGCCUGUCCAGGCUGAAGCUGAGGUAAGACUCAGUGGAGGGCCGAACUCACCGCCGUUGAAAAGUUGGGAGAUGAGAUAGGUCUAGGGGUGAAAAGCCAAUCGAACUAGGAGAUAGCUCGUUCUCUCCGAAAUGCAUUUAGGUGCAGCCUUGGUUGAAGAUAUGCGGGGGUAGAGCACUGUAUGGCCUAGGGGGCGUAUAGCUUACCGAAGUCAAGCAAACUGCGAAUACCGUAUAUUGUUUACCAGGAGUGAGUCUACGGAUGACAAGGUCCGUGGACGAGAGGGGAACAGCCCGGACCGCCAGCUAAGGUCCCAAAUUAUGUCUAAGUGGGAAAGGAGGUGGAUAUUCACAGACAACCAGGAGGUUGGCUUAGAAGCAGCCAUACCUUGAAAGAGUGCGUAAUAGCUCACUGGUCGAGAGUAUCUGCGCCGAAGAUAUAACGGGGCUAAGACAUAAACCGAAGCUGCGGAAGCGUGGUAACACGUUUGGUAGGAGAGCGUUCUGUAGGCCGUAGAAGGUGUCCUGAAAGGGAUGCUGGAGGUAUCAGAAGUGAGAAUGCAGGAAUGAGUAGCGAGAAGGAGGGCGAGAAUCCCUCCGGCCGGAAGUCCAAGGUUUCCAGGGGAAGGUUUGUCCGCCCUGGGGGAGUCGGGACCUAAGCAUAAGCAGAGCUGCGAAGGCGAAUGGAAAACAGGUUAAUAUUCCUGUACCGCUGUGUACUGACUGAGAGAUGGAGUGACGCAGGAAGGUAUGCGGGAAGGCUGACGGAAUAGCCUUUCUAAGGGUGAAGCGUGGACAUAUAGGCAAAUCCGUAUGUUUAAACGUGAGGCCUGACGGGUAAGUGCCAUAGGGCAUAAGCCGCAGAUCCUACACUGCCGGGAAAAACUUCUAUUUAGGGAAGCAGCGCCCGUACUGUAAACCGACACAGGUGGACAGAGUGAGAAACUUAAGGCCGACAGGAUAACUCUGGCUAAGGAACUCUGCAAAAUGGCCCCGUAACUUAGGGAGAAGGGGUGCCCGUGGUACCUGAAGGGGGAGACACCCGGAGGGGAAACGGGCCGCAGUGAAGAGUCCCAAGCAACUGUUUACCAAAAACACAGGUCUAUGCUAAGCCGGAAGGCGACGUAUAUGGGCUGACACCUGCCCAGUGCCGGAAGGUUAAGAGGAGGAUUGAGAGAUUCGAAUUGAAGCCCCGGUGAACGGCGGCCGUAACUAUAACGGUCCUAAGGUAGCGAAAUUCCUUGUCGGGUAAGUUCCGACCUGCACGAAUGGUGAAAUGAUUUGGGAGCUGUCUUGGCCGGAGACCUGGUGAAGUUGUAAUGCCGGUGAAGAUACCGGUUACCUGCAGUAGGACGGAAAGACCCCGUGGAGCUUUACUGUAGCCUGGCAUUGGGUUUCGGCAAUGUGUGUAUAGGAUAGCUGGGAGGCUAAGAAGAUAUGGCGUCAGCUGUAUUGGAGCCGCUGUUGGAAUACCAGCCACGCAUUGUUGGGAUUCUAAUCUCAAGAGAUGGGAGACAGUGCUAGGUGGGCAGUUUGACUGGGGCGGUCGCCUCCAAAAGAGUAACGGAGGCGUUCAAAGGUUCCCUCAGGCUGGAUGGAAAUCAGCCGUAGAGUGCAAACGCAAAAGGGAGCUUGACUGCGAGACUGACGGGUCGAGCAGGCACGAAAGUGGGAGUUAGUGAUCCGGCGGUUCUGAAUGGAAAGGCCG
rnacentral:rRNA from 1 species